rnacentral:rRNA from 1 species
CAGUCGUACCGGCGGGUAAUCAGCCUUUCGGGUAUGAUUCUGUGGAGUGUGGGGAGCUAAACACCCUCAUGCCUGCAUAUUCGUGCUCUUGGGUGUACUUGCUCGUGUGGUUGGUUAACAUCAAUUUCGGAUGCCAUAAAUGACUGGAGAAUGUAGCUUCGAUCUCGUAUUGAAGUUUUAUACGCCUUCGGUAGAUGGUAGGGU